GACGAACCGUGCGAACGUUGUUCGGAAUCACUGGGCUUAAAGGGCGCGUAGGCGGCCCCGCCAGUCUCGGGUGAAAUCUUCCGGCCCAACCGGAAAAGUGCCCGGGAUACUGCGGGGCUCGAGCGAGGCAGGGGCGGGGGGAACUUCCGGUGGAGCGGUGAAAUGCGUUGAUAUCGGAAGGAACGCCGGUGGCGAAAGCGCCCCGCUGGGCCUCUCCUGACGCUGAGGCGCGAAAGCCAGGGGAGGCGAACGGG
rnacentral:rRNA from 1 species